GACGAACGCUGGCGGCGUGCUUAACACAUGCAAGUCGAACGCUGAAGCUUGGUGCCUGCACUGGGUGGAUGAGUGGCGCACGGGUGAGUAAUAUGUGAGUAACCUGCCCUUGACUCUGGGAUAAGCCUGGGAAACUGGGUCUAAUACUGGAUACGACAUGUCACCGCAUGGUGGUGUGUGGUAAGGGCUUUACUGGUUUUGGAUGGGCUGACGGCCUAUCAGCUUGUUGGUGGGGUAAUGGCUCACCAAGGCGACGACGGGUAGCCGGCCUGAGAGGGGGGCCGGCCACCCUGGGACUGAGGCACGGCGCAGACUCCUACGGGAGGCAGCAGUGGGGAAUAUUGCACAAUGGGCGGAAGCCUGAUGCAGCGACGCCGCGUGAGGGAUGACGGCCUUCGGGUUGUAAACCUCUUUCAGCACGGAAGAAGCGAAAGUGACGUUACGUGCAGAAGAAGCGCCGGCUAACUACGUG
rnacentral:rRNA from 1 species